rnacentral:misc_RNA from 1 species
GACGAAGAACGUAGCGAAAUGCGAUACGUAAUGUGAAUUGCAGAAUUCAGUGAAUCAUCGAGUCUUUGAACGCACAUUGCGCCCCCUGGUAUUCCGGGGGGCAUGCCUGUCCGAGCGUCAUUGCUGCCCUCAAGCACGGCUUGUGUGUUGGGCCUCCGCCCCCCGGCUCCCGGGGGGCGGGCCCGAAAGGCAGCGGCGGCACCGCGUCCGGUCCUCGAGCGUAUGGGGCUUCGUCACCCGCUCCGUAGGCCCGGCCGGCGCCCGCCGGCGACCCCCCUCAAUCUUUCCAGGUUGACCUCGGAUCAGGUAGGGAUACCCGCUGAACUUAAGCAUAUCAAUAAGCGGAGGA